UCUCACACAGUUUGAUAAAUCUGGGCUAACUAUAUGGAAACCUGGUAAUUGGUCCUGAAGCCCCAAAAUGUCAUCCAAAAAUAGGAAAAAGUGAGGAUGAAAGAAAAAUAAGUGAUAAACUAAUAUAGAUAAAGCAAAUCCUUCCAUAUGAAAGUAAUGAAGAUCUGCUGGGAGCUGUAAUCACUGUCUAUGUAGAGGACAGGAGCUUCUUCAGGGUCCUAAAAAAGUAAUGGAGCCGCCCUCACCUGGUGUCCAAAGGAGCAGCUAACCCUGGUACAGGUUCUGUGGAGACGAGUUGUGGUUGGAAGAAAUCAUCAUGACGGUCUGGGCCGGAUGGAGAAGAAAAGACUGCAGCAUGAAAACAGAGAGGAGGGGGUUACAGAGCAGCCUGCAGUGAUUGGAUGAAGAGAUCCGGCACAACAGACUCAGGGAGGAAAAGUCAUGGAGAAUAAGGACACCCCCCCCUUCAAAGCACAGGAUGAAAAACCAAAUGAGAAACAGAAAAAAGGUUGUCUUCCCAGAAGUAGUGUUUAGAGGGGGUCCAAUGUUCGGGGACCCCGAUCUUUUAGCAAGCAGAUCUUGCUCUGAUGGACCUGAUUUAUCCAAGUAUUACAUGACCAUAGAAAUGUUGAAAAUGCAACGCACUCGGUCACCAGUAGAAUGGCGAAGGUGAGACGGCGUGAUACACUGUCGCGCGGCGAUAACAAUGACUAUAUAGCUUCGUGCAAAGAACAUUGGCAUUACAGGAAUACAUAUAAUGGAAUGCAGCAGGUGACAAC